AAGGGUCUCUGUGCAGAAACAGGAAUGGAUUUCCCUGAGGCAGAGAGGACUCCAUUGGACCCCAGGCAGAGGCCGCUGGGGGAUGGAAUCAUGUCGGCAAGACCUACUAAAUCAUAUCCCCUUUCUGGUGGAGGAGAAGCUGUUGCUAUCGCCCCAGAUCAGGAUCCAGUGUCUUUGGAGGAUGUGGCUGUGCAGUUCACGGAAGAGGAGUGGGCUUUGCUGAAUCCUGACCAGAGAGCUCUGCAUAGCGAAGUCAUGGAGGGGAUUUGUGGGACUCUGUCCUGUCUUGAAGAUGAUGAGUGGAAAGCCAAGAGGAAGGAAGAACUGUGUGGGCAAGAGAGAUGGAAAAGAGAUAGAUCUAAAAACAGGGAAGAGCAGAGAAGGAAUCCUGAAGCAGAAGAGAAAAGGAGGAAUAAAUCUUACGCUUCUCAGGGCAGUGGCUACCAUAAAACUGCCAUCCGAGAAAAAACAGAUCAAAGAAUGAGAAGAAAUAAAUAUUUUCAUUGUUCGAAAAGUCUGAAUUCUAAAAGUAAGUGUAAGAAAGCCCACUACAAAAACCAGAAAACGGAGAAAGCAUAUCAAUGUUUGGAACGUGAAAGGAGGUUUAGCUGCAAGGCAAGUCUUAUUUUGCAUCAAAGAAUGCAAACCGGUGAGAAACCAUAUAAGUGCUUAGAAUGUGGAAAGAGCUUCAGUUGGAAAAACAAACUCGCUGCCCACCAAAGAAUUCACACUGGAGAGGAACCAUAUAAGUGUUUGGAAUGUGGAAAGAGCUUCAGGUGGAAACAACAACUCGCUGCCCACCAAAGUAAUAACACUGGGGAGAAACCAUAUAAAUGUUUGGAAUGUGGGAAGAGCUUCCGCUGGAAACACUUACUCACUGCCCACCAAAAUGUUCACACCGGGCAGAAAUCAUAUAAGUGCCUAGAAUGUGGAAAGAGCUUCUGUCAGAAAAGCAAUCUGACUUCCCAUCAAAGAAUUCACACUGGAGAGAAACCAUAUAAGUGCUUGGAAUGUGGAAAGAGCUUUCGUCGGAAGACACAUCUGACUUGCCAUCAAAGAAUUCACAUGGGGGAGAAACCUUUUAAGUGCUUGGAAUGUGGAAAGAGCUUCCACUGGAAAAACUUACUCACUGCCCAUCAAAGAAUUCACACCGGAGAGAAACCAUAUAAGUGCUUAGAAUGUGGAAAGAGCUUCAGUUGGAAACAAGCACUCACUUUCCAUCAAAGAAUUCACACUGUGGAGAAGCCAUAUAGAUGCCUGGAAUGUGGAAAGUGCUUUACUACAAGUUCCUCUCUCACUGCCCAUGAAAGUAUUCACACUGGGGAGAAGCCAUAUAAGUGCUUAGAAUGUGGGAAGAGCUUCACUAGAUAUUCCUCUCUCACUUUCCAUCAAAGAAUUCACACUGGGGAGAAGCCAUAUAAGUGCUUAGAAUGUGGAAAAAGCUUCCACCAGAAGAUAAAUCUGACUUCCCAUCAAAGAACUCACACUGGGGAGAAACCAUAUAAGUGCUUAGAAUGUGGAAAGAGCUUCCGUCAGAAGAUACAUCUGACUUUCCAUCAAAGUAUUCACACUGGGGAGAAACCGUAUAAAUGCUUGGAAUGUGGAAAGAGCUUCAGUUGCAAAGAGCAACUCACUCUCCAUCAAAGAAUUCACACUGGGGAGAAACCGUAUACGUGCUUAGAAUGUGGAAAGAGCUUCAGUAGGAAACAGAAACUCACUGACCAUCAAAGAAUUCACACUGGGGAGAAGCCACAUAAGUGCUUAGAAUGUGGAAAGAGCUUCUACCAGAAGAUAAAUCUGACUUCCCAUCAAAGAACUCACACUGGGGAGAAACCAUAUAAGUGCUUAGAAUGUGGAAAGAGCUUUACUAGAAAUUCCUCUCUCACUUUGCAUCAAAGUGUUCACACUGGGGAGAAACCAUAUAAGUGCUUAGAAUGUGGAAAGAGCUUCAGUAGGAAACAGCAACUCACUGCCCAUCAAAGUGUUCACACUGGGGAGAAGCCAUAUGAAUGCCUGGAAUGUGGAAAGGGCUUUACUAGAAAUUCCUCUCUCACUUUGCAUCAAAGAAUUCACAGAGGAGAGAAACCAUAGAACUGCUUGGAACAUGGAAAGAGCUUCAGAAGUAGCUUAAGUCUUUAAUGUCAUGAAAGAUUUCAGAAAUGGGGAAACCAUAUUAUGAGUGAUGAACAGGGGGUUGCCCACCUGUUGCCUGUGAGUGUUUUGGAGGCCUGCAAAGCCCUUCAGUGGCACCCCAGCAAAUCGCCAAGAGUCUUUAUAAUACAUGCUAUUUAUUCAUCUCUUGCACACUACAACUAAUAAAAUGUAGUCAGUGACCUUAUUAUAGAAACAGAAAAAUAGGGAUACAUAUCAGCAUGAAAGAAGUUGCUGGAAAUCCAAUUAACAUCAAUGUAUAAGACUGUGAAGGCACAUCUUAGUUAAAACAGGUUACAAUAGUUGAAGGCCCUUUUUGUGUGGGGGGGUGUAUGGUGUGAGUGUGUGUUGUGGGGGUUGCAUCAUGUGCCUGGGAGAGAGGAGUCAAAGUCGACUGGGAAGAUUUGAGGUGGCCCCAAUUAGUGUAGUGACGGGUAGAGGGAGAUAUGAUGCUGUGUGGAGGACUUGCCAGGUGAGGGGAACUCACCCCAGGCAGUUAACGGCUUUGCUGGGUUCCGGUCCUCCACACACCCACAGGUUUGUUGGUUGCCCUAUCAGCCAGCUCUCCGAUCUCCGGAUGCUGCUCCUAAAUGCCAGAUCGGUACAUAAUCAGAUCUCUCUCAUCCACGAUUUAAUUGUGGAGGAGGCAGCUGAUCUGGCAUGUAUAACUGAGACCUGGGUGGGUGAGCAGGGAGGAGCUAGUCUCUCCCAGCUGUGCCCACCGGGGUACUUGGUUCAGCAUCAGGGUAGAUCUGAGGGCCGGGGAGGGGGGUUGCUGUGGUCUAUAGGAGUUCCAUCUCUCUCUCCAAGCACCAUGUCCAUGCAACUAAUGGUCUGGAGUGUUUGCACCUUGUGUUGGAUCAGGGGGACAGAUUGGGGAUUCUGUUGGUGUACCGCCCACCCCGCUGCCCAACAGACUCCCUAACUGAGCUGACGGAGGUGGUCUCGGCUGUAUUGUUGAGAUCACCCAGACUGUUUGUGCUGGGGGAUGUCAACAUCCACGCCGAGGCCGCCUUAUCUGGGGCGGCUCAGGACUUCAUGGCUUCCAUGACAACCAUGAGGCUGUCCCAAUAUGCUACUGGCCCAACACACGUGGCAGGGCAUACUCUAGACCUGAUUUUUGCAACUGGACAUGGAGAUGGUGAUCUGAAUGUAGGGAGUCUUACAUCAGCCCCUUUGUCAUGGACUGAUCACCGCUUGUUGAGGUUUAGACUUACCGCAGCUUUUCCCCUCUGCAAGGGUGGAGGACACAUUAAGAUGGUCCGCCCCCGGAGACUAAUGAAUCCGGAUGGUUUUCAAAAGGCUCUGGGGAGUUUUCCGGCUGAUAGGGCUGGCGCUCCUGUUGAAACCCUGGUCGAACUAUGGAAUGCUGAAAUGACCUGGGCAGUUGACAUGAUCGCUCCUGUGCGCCCUCUCCUAUGUAGAGCUCCUUCAGCUCCAUGGUAUACUUCAGAGCUGAGAGCAAUUAAACAGGAGACGGCUUGAGUGCAGAUGGAGACGAACUCCUGAGGGAUGCAAUUAUGCACUGGUAAGUGCCUAUACCAAGCUGUAUUUAGGGGCAGUACGGGCAGCACAAAAACAAUAUUUUGUUGCCACUAUUAAAUCUUCUAACUGCCGUCCGGCGGAGCUUUUUAAAGUUGUCAGAGGGCUAGUACAUUCUGGCCCUAGGGACACGGUAGAACUAUGCGAAGCACGCUGUAAUGAAUUUGCUAGGCACUUCCAGGAUAAAAUCUCUUGCAUCCGUCAAGACUUGGACUCCAGUGUUAUAGCAGUUGAAUCAAAUGAGGUAUCCGGAGCACAGCCUGGUCAUGAUUUUUUGGAUGAGUUUCAAUUGGUGCAGCUUGAGGAUAUUGACAAGGUGCUUGGACAGGUGCGUGCAACCUCUUCUGUUCUGGAUCCGUGCCCCUCUUGGCUAAUGAAAGCUAGCAGGGAUGGAACAGCCGGCUGGGCCAGGGAAGUGAUUAAUGCCUCACUGUGUGAGGGAGAGGUCCCUGGCUGCCUAAAGGCGGCGGUAGUGAGACCACUUUUGAAGAAAUCUUCCCUGGACCCAGAAAAUCUUAAUAAUUACAGGCCGGUAGCAAAUGUCCCAUUCCUGGGCAAGGUCCUAGAAAGAGUGGUUGCAGACCAGCUCCAGACAUUCUUGGAUGAGACCGAUUAUCUGGAUCCAUUUCAAUCGGGUUUCAGGCCCGGUUUUAUAAUAAUAAUAAUAAUAAAUUUAAUUUCUUUGUCGCCUAUCUGGCCGAUGGCCACUCUAGGCGACGAACAAGAUUGUUAAGAUACAAUUGAAAAAUAUAGCGAUACAAUAUAAAAUCAAUACAUCUGCAACAACAACAUUAAAACUGGGCAGGAGGCAUUACAGUUACAACAAUUAACCCUCCCCGGAUACCCCGAAGGCCUGUUGAAAGAGCCAGGUCUUUAAGGCUUUCCGAAAUACAUUUAGGGAAGAGGAGUGCCGGAGAUCUUGUGGGAGGGAGUUCCAAAGAGUGGGGGCCGCCACUGAGAAUGCCCUCUCUCUUGUACCCACCAAUCUGGCUGUUUUUGUUGGCGGGAUUGAGAGAAGGCCCUGUGUGGUUUUGGCACGGGGACGGCCUUGGUUGCCCUGUAUGAUGACCUUUGUUGGGAGAAAGACAGGGGGAGUGUAACUCUGUUGAUUCUCCUUGAUCUCUCAGCGGCUUUUGAUACCAUCGACCAUGGUAUUCUUCAGGGGAGACUUGCGGAUUUGGGAGUUGGAGGUACUGCUUGGCAGUGGUUCUGCUCCUACUUGGCGGGUUGUCUCCAGAAGGUAGUGCUUGGGGAGCAUUGCUCGGCACCCUGGGCUCUCCAAUAUGGAGUUCCGCAGGGGUCAGUUCUGUCCCCCAUGCUCUUUAACAUCUACAUGAAGCCGCUGGGUGCUGUCAUCAGGAGUUUUGGAGUGCAUUGUCACCAGUAUGCUGAUGACACGCAGCUCUACUUCUCCUUUUCAUCCUCAUCAGGUGAGGCUGUCAAGGUGCUGAACCGAUGCCUGGCUGCGAUAAUGGACUGGAUGAGAGCGAAUAAAUUGAAGCUCAAUCCAGACAAGACUGAGAUGCUGUUAGUAGGCGGUUCCUCUGACCAGAUGGUGGAUGUGCAACCUGUCCUGGAUGGGGUUGCACUCCCUCUGAAGGAGCAGGUUCGUAGUUUGGGAGUUCUUUUAGAACCAUCCCUGUCACUGGAGGCUCAGGUAGCCUCGGUGGCACGGAGUGCUUUCUACCAGCUUCAGCUGGUGGCCCAACUACGCCACUAUUUGGACAGGGGAAACCUUGCUUCAGUUGUCCAUGCCCUGGUAACCUUUAAAUUAGACUACUGCAAUGCACUCUACGUGGGGCUGCCCUUGAAGACUGUUUGGAAACUGCAGCUCAUGCAAAAUGCGGCGGCCAGAUUGAUAACCGGGACCAGGCGGUCCGAACAUAUAACACUGAUUCUGGCCCGCUUGCACUGGUUGCCUAUAUGUUUCCGGGCCCGAUUCAAAGUGCUGGUUUUAACCCAUAAAGCCUUGUACGGCAUGGGGCCACAAUACCUGAUGGAACGCCUCUCCCGAUAUGAACCUACCCGUACACUGCGCUCAACAUUGAAGGCCCUCCUCCGGGUGCCUACUCAGAGAGAAGCCCGGAAGGUGACAACAAGAAAAAGAGCCUUCUCAGUGGUGGCCCCUGAACUAUGGAAUAUUCUUCCUGAUGAGGUACGCCUGGCACCAACAUUAUUAUCUUUUCGGCACCAGGUAAAAACCUUCCUCUUCUCCCAGGCAUUUUCAGCAUUUUAGUAGUAUUUAAUAUGCAUUUUAGUAUCUGUUUAAUUAUGUUUUAAUUUUUGAUAUCUUUAACUUAUUUUAGAUUGCUUAAUAUGUGGUUUUAAUUGUAUGUUAGAUGUUUUUACCUGUUGUGAGCCGCCCAGAGAGCUUCGGCUAUGGGGCGGUAUAAAAAUUUAAUUAAUAAUAAUAUUAAUAAUAAUAAGGACCGAGUUAACUUCUUAAGUCAUGUCACAAAGCCAGAGUUACAGAGUACAUGGAAAUACAUGUCACGAUACAUCACCCAUCAGAUGCCAUGGAUGGAAUAGAUGUGAGGGUUCCCUCCUGCUUUCUUUGACCCCACCCCCACUUCAACAGAGCCAAGGGGGUCCUGCAUGCUAUAGAACUGGCCUUUUAUACACCCUAUUUACAAAGGGAUGGCUUGUUCCCAUGGCUUUAUCAAUUUUGCUACCCACUAGAGGAGAAAUUUUGGAAAUUUGCAUUUGCUGCCUCCCGGAAGCACUCCAUAUCUUCUUCUCACUUACUGGUGACACUUAAUGUAACAUAUUGGCUGUCUGCUCAGAGAUUGUAUCUUGUACUGUACUCUGCUUUAUAAGGAAACAAUGCUUAGUCUAGAAGGGAGGGUUUAAGAAACCGAUUUUCAAAAGAGAACUUUCUUCCUCUGUGUAAACUACAAGCGAAGCCAUUAAAAGCUUAUGUAAAUAAUUUCAGCACAUUAUAUGCACAUUUUAAGCCAUUAUUCGGGCUAUCCCUUUAUUUAUUAUUUGAUGUAUAUCCCAUCCUUCCUCCCAGCAGGAGCCCAGGGCAGCAAACAAGGCACUAGAAACAUUUUAAAACAUCAUAAAAACAAAACUUGAAAUACAUUAACGCAAAACAGCAUCAAAAACAUUAAAAAAAAAAUUUUUUUUAAAAAAAGAUUAAAAACAUUAUUAAAAAACAAGCCAUUCUGACAGAGAGAAAGACUGGGAUAGCUCUCAACUUAAAACGCUUGUUGAAAAAGAAAAGUCUUCAAAAGGCACCGAAAAGAUAGGAGAGAUGGCACCUGACUAAUAUUCAAAGGGAGGGAAUUCCACAGGGUAGGUGCUGCCACACUAAGGUCCAUUUCCUAUAUUGCACAGAAUGAACCUCCUGAUAAGAUGGUAUCUGCAGGAGGCCCUCACCUGCAGAGCGCAGUGAUCAGGAUGAUGGUCUUUCAGGUAUCCUGGUCCCGAGCAGUAUUGGGCUUUGUACACCAAAACUAGAACUUUGAACUUGGUCCGAUAGCAAAUGGGCAGCCAGUGCAACUCUUUCAGUAGCAGGGUGCCAUGCUUGCGUUACCCUGCUCCAGUGAGCAGUCUCACCGCCACAUUUUGCACCAGCUGCAACUUCUGGAUCAACUUCAAGGGCAGCCCCACAUAGAGCGCAUUACAGUAAUUCAGCCUAGAGGUUACCAGUGCGUGGACAACAGUGAUCAGGCUAUCCUGGUCCAGAAACGGCUGCAGCUGUCUCACCAGCCGAAGCUGGUAAAAGGCACUUCUAGCCACUGAGGUCACCUGGGCCUCUAGCGACAAAGAUGGAUCCAAGAGUACCCCCAGGCUACGGACCUGCUCUUUCAGAGGAAGUACGACCCCAUCCAAAGCAGGCAACUGACCAAUUAUCCGAACUCUGGAACCACCAACCCACAGUGCCUCCGUCUUGCUAGGAUUCAGACUCAGUUUAUUGGCCCUCAUCUAGCCCACCACCGAGUCCAGGCAGUGGUCAAAGGCUUGCACAGCCUCUCCUGAUUCAGAUGUUAUGGAGAAAUAGAACUGGGUAUCAUCAGCAUACUGCUGACACCUCCCUCCAAAGCUCCUGAUGACUGCUGCCGGCUUCAUAUAGAUGUUAAACAGCAUGGGGUAGAAGAUGGUACCCUGUGGCACCCCACAGCACAGCUGCCAGGGGGCCGAAAGACAAUCACUCAAUGCUACUCUCUGAGAGAGACCCUGGAGAUAGGAUCGGAACCACUGUAAAACAGUUCCUCCAAUACCCAUCUCACCAAGUCGGCCCAGAAGGAUACCAUGGUCAAUGGUAUCAAAAGCCGCUGAGAGAUCAAGUAAGAAUAACAGAGUCGCACUCCCCCUGUCCUUCUCCCGAUAAAGGUCAUCCAUCAGGGCAACCAAGGCCAAUUCAGUCCCAUAACCAGGCCUAAACCCAGACUGGGAUGGGUCAAGAUAAUCUUUCAUCCAAGAGUACUUGCAGUUGCUGCGCCACAACCCUCUCAAUCACCUUCCCUAAGAAGGGGGUAUUUGCAACCGGUAAGUAGUUGUCCCAAGCCAAUGGGUCCAGGGUGGGCUUUUUCAGGAGUGGUCGGAUCACCGCCUCUUUCAGGCGGCUGGAAUCACUCCCUCCCACAAUGAUGCAUUGACCGCACCCUGGAUCCACUUGGUCAGACCCCCCCCCCGGCAAGCUUUAAUAAGCCAAGAAGGGCAAGGGUCAAGAAGACACAUUGCUGGCUACAUCAUCGCAAGCACCUUGUCCACAUCAUCAGGCCGCAUCAACUGAAACUGUUCCCAAGAAAUAGGAGCAGAUGUUGCACUGGGCACCUCAUUGGGGACUACAGUAUAUGUAGAUGGGGCAUCAAGACUGCUACGGAGGCGAGCAAGUUUACCCUCAAAGUGCCUUGCAAACAUUUCACAGUGGUCCUCCGAAGGCUCUAAGACUCCAUUUCCUGGAGUUGAUGUCAAAAGACCCCUGACAAUACGGAAAAGCUCCACUGGACGGAUACUUGAGGAUGUGAUGGAGGAAGAGAAGUGGGCCUUCUUCGCCGCCCUCACCGCCACACAAUAGGCACAGUUAUGAUGUAUUACUCGUGCCUGAUCUGUCUCACAGGACGUCUUUUGCCACUUGCACUCUAGCCGACAUCCAGCCUGUUUCAUUGCCCUUAGCUCACUGGUGUACCAAGGUGCAAGCUGGGCUCCACAGUGCCGGAGAGGGCGCUCGGGGGCAACCGUGUCGAGCCAGAUGCGCCUCGCUGUUCCACAGCAUGACAAGGGCUUCAACAGGGUCACCUGCUCUAUCUCCUGGGAACUCCCCCAGGGCAUUCAGGAAUCCAGUGGAUUCCAUUAGUUUCCGGAGACGGACCAUCUUCAUCUGUCCACCCCAGGGAAGACUCGGAGCCAUAAGUCUAAACUUCACCAGGAAGUGGUCUGACCAUGACAUCCACCCCCCCAUCUCCAGACCACCCCUUCCUCCAUCUGAAGCAAAGACCAAGUCGAGGGUGUGCCCUGCUCUAUGCGUUUGGCCAAUAACAACUUGAGACAGCCCCAUGUUUGUCAUGGAGGCCAUGAAGUCCCGAGCCGGAACACUAGAGGCAGCCUCUGCAUGGACAUUGAAAUCACCCAGCACUAUCAUUCUGGGCUGCUCCAACGCCACCGCUGAGACGACCUCCACCAGCUCAGUCAGAGAAGCUGCCGGGCAGCAAGGUGGACGUUACACCAGCAGCAACCCUAGUUUACGGUCUCCUCGGCCCAACACCAGGUGCAGGCCCUCACAGCCAGCUCCAAGACAGAGUGGUUUCCUGGUGACAGAGAUGGAAGUUCUGUAGACCACAGCAACUCCUCCCCCCCCAUCCCUGCAGCCUGUGCUGGUGCUGCGGAAAAGGGUCUCUGUGGAGAAACAGGAAUGGAUUUCCCUGAGGCAGAGAGGACUCCAUUGGACCCCAGGCAGAGGCCGCUGGGUAAAGAUGAAUGGGGCGUGUUUCCGUUUGGUCUGUCUCUGUUGAUUUUGCCUGCGAGAACCAGUGUGAUGUAGUGGUUAAGGUUUUGGACUACGACCUGGGAGACCAGGGUUCAAAUCCCCACACAGCCAUGAAGCUCACUGGGUGACCUUGGGCCAGUCGCUGCCUCUCAGCCCCAGAGGAAGGCAAUCGUAACCCCGUCUGAAUACAGCUUACCAUAAAAACCCUAUUCAUAGGGUCACCAUAAGUCAGAAUUGACUUGAAGGCAGUACAGUGGUUAAGGUGUUGGACUACGACCUGGGAGAGCAGGGUUCAGUCACUGCUCCUAAGUCCCAGAGGAAGUCAAUGGUAAACCCUUCCUGAAUACCGCUUACUAUGAAAACCCUAAACACCAUAAGUCAGGAUCAACUUGAAUUUCCAUUUUCCACUCUUGUCUCCAGCCUUUUCCACAGCUCAGAAAUGCUCCUACUUACAUCAUAAUUUUUUACGUGGGAACCAUCACUUUGAUUUCUGGCUUAGAGCUCAAAUGAGGAGGGAUGUUUUAUCACACAACUGAAAGAUAAAUUGUGCAUAAAUACCUGAAACUCACUCAGCUGAGAAGAAUCCUUGUGCAGUUAUACCUCUAUGGUUAAAUCUCUGACAAUAGCAUACGGUAUACUAAUGGCUUUUGGGCCCAUUUUCUUUCUCACAGGGGAUGGAAUCAUUGUUAGCUCAUUAUGCUUAGUCAUUCCCCAUGUUGGGAAUGGGUUAACCACAGCACAGUAAUUUUGUGAAGGUCACACAGCAGUACCAGAUCAAAGGGGCUGGCUAUAAAAUACAAGCCCAGGGACCCAGGCUGUGUGGGGGAAGAUAGGAGUAAUGCUUAUGUUGGUGAUUGUAUUCUGUCUGCACGUUGAUAAAGUUUGUUUUGCUUGCACUAAGCUUAACAGUGUCAGUGUGGUCUAUUUCUAAUUGCCGAUUCAGGAACGCUGUUACUCACGCACCUCUGUGUCCUGUGCAACAAGUUAAGUCUGCCUUGUUGGUUCGGGGCACAAGAGAGCUCAACAAAGGGUUAUGGGCCCAGCCAUAACAGUGUUACUGUGAAACUGUGCUAAAGAACAGGAGAUCCAGAAAGUGCAUUACAGCAGAUGAAAGGAGUAAGAAAAGAAUGGCAGCAUUUGGAGGCGCAUCUUUUCCCUUGGAGAGGCUGGGGAGCACCAACUACUCCUACUGGAAGGUAAAGACAGAAAUGCUACUGGUGAAGGAGGGCGUGUGGCACACAGUUGCGGAAGACCCCCCUGCAGCCCCACCGGCAGAGUGGAUAAGGGCGGCAGAGAAAGCUAAAGCUCUGAUUAUCCUAGCUCUGGAAAAUGAACAGUUAAUACAUGUAAGAGGCUUAAACACUGCGAAGGAAGUGUGGAAUGCAUUAAAAACUGUACAUGUGAGAAAAACUGCGGGCUCUAAGGUCCUACUUGCUAAAACACUUUACCAAACACGUUACAAAGAAGGCGAGUCCAUGCAGAGGCAUUUACAGAACUUACAACGUUUGUUUGCCGAAUUGAAAGAAAUGAACAUGCAACAUACACAGGAACAGAUGGCAUACAUUACGCUGUCAACUUUAAAUGAUUCCUGGGAUGGAAUAAUAAGCGCGUUAGAAAGUUUGCCAGACGCGGAGCUCAGUGUUAAUUACAUCACAAACAAACUACUGCAAGAAGCAGAACGCCGACAAGAGAAAAGCAAACAGAGCAACAAAGAAAACCCGGAGCGGAAUGAGCAAGGAUCCAUGGCAUAUGGAGUGAGAUGCUGCUACACUUGUGGUUCCACAAAUCAUCUACGCAGACAUUGCCAGGCUGAGAAGCAAAGAAGAACACAACAAUGCGAGAAAGACCCAUUUAAAGUGCAUGUCGUAGGAACAAAAGACAAAGACAAUGAACUGAACAGAGCAUCCUGGACUAUUGACUCAGGAGCUAGUCAUUUUUUGGCAAAUAAUGAAAAACAGUUUAAAACCCUGACCCCAACAACGAACCAGAACGUUUACUUGGCGGAUGGAAGCUGUCGCGAAGUAAAAGGGGAUCCAGUGUCUUUGGAGGAUGUGGCUGUGCAGUUCACAGAAGAGGAGUGGGCUUUGCUGAAUCCUGACCAGAGAGCUCUGCAUAGCGAAGUCAUGGAUCAAUGCUUCCCUCCAGCAAGGCCACCUUCCAGGCAGCCUAAAGGAAGCAAUUGUUAUUCCCUUAUUAAAAAAGCCUUCUUUGAACCCUUCCAGUUUAGUUUCCAUCCCGUGUCCAACUUACCUUUUUAAAGUAAAAUUAUUGAGAAAGUGGUGGCCUCUCAGCUCCAGAGUUUCCUGGAGCUGACAGAUUACUACGACUCAUCUCAAUCUGGUUUUAGGCCGGGUCAUGGAACUGAGACCGUAUUGGUGGCCUUAGUGGAUGACCUCCGGAGAGAGUUAGACAAGGGGAAAGUUUCUUUGUUAGUCCUUCUUGAUCUUUCAGCAGCGUUUGACACGAUCGACCAUGACAUUCUCUUGGGCCGCCUCUCCGAGAUGGGCUUACGAGGCACUGUUUUUCAGUGGCUCCGCUCUUUCUUGGAGGGCAGAUCACAGAGAGUACUAUUUGGGGAUUUUAGCUCUGAUCCCUGGCCGUUGUCAUGCGGAGUACCACAAGGCUCGGUGUUUUCACCGAUGCUGUUUAACAUUUACAUGAAACCGCUGGAAGAGAUCAUCCGGAGGUUUGGAAUUCGGUUUCACCAAUAUGCUGAUGACACCCAGCUUUAUUUUUCCUUCCCUCCGGAUAUGAAAGAUGCCAUCCUUCCUUUAAAUAAUUGUCUAACAGCAGUUAAGACCUGGAUGACACAGAAUAAGCUGAAAUUGAACCCAGAUAAAACAGAGGUGCUGGUGGUUGGGCACCGAACCAAGUUGGAAAUAGGGAAUGUACCGUUAUUAGAUGGAGUUUUACUCCCUUUAAAGACCCAGGUUCGUAGUUUGGGUGUCCUUCUGGAUUCGGCCUUGACUUUGGAGGCCCAUGUCUUAGCAACUUCCAGAAGUGCCUUUGCCCGCCUAAAAUUGGUUCGCCAAUUGCGCCCUUUUCUGGAACUCUCUGACCUAACCACGGUUACCCAUGCCUUGGUUACGUCUAAGUUGGACUACUGUAACUCGCUUUAUACUGGACUUCCCCUUAAAAUACUUCGUCAACUGAAAUUAGUCCAAAGAGCGGCUGCCAGGAUGUUAAUAGGAGCAGGUUGGCGAGUUCACACUACUCCGCUCCUAAAACAACUACACUGGCUUCCAAUUUCUUAUCGAGUUCAGUUUAAAAUCCUGGUUUUAACGUUUAGAGCUUUAUCUGGUUCAGGCCCUAGUUAUUUUUCAAAUCGUAUUUCGUUUUAUGAGCCUACUCGUUCUUAAGAUCUUCAUUAGACCCCGGCCUUAAUAUUCCUUCUUUUUCCCAAAUUCAUCGGACUGGUAUUAGGAAUAGAUCAUUUUCGGUGGUAGCACCAACUCUUUGGAAUUCUCUUCCGCAGGAAAUUCGUUCUUCCCCCUCUUUAAUUAGUUUUCGUCGCCAAGUUAAGACCUUUUUAUUUCGGUUAGCUUUUGAAUUGUAAUGUGAGAGAUAAUUUAUAUUUUUUUAUAUAUUGUAUAUUGUAUAAUGUGUUUGCACUAUGUUAUUGUUUUGGCCGCUUAGAAUUCUUUGGAACUGAAGCGGGAUAUAAACUUUUUAAAUAAAUAAAAUAAAUAAAUAAAUGGAGGGGAUUUGUGGGACUCUGUCCUGUCUUGGUAAGGCAGGUUCCAUUGUAAUUUGUUAUGUGCCUUCAAGUCGAUUACGACUUAUGGCAACCCUAUGAAUCAACAACCUCCAGUAGCAUCUGUUAUAAA